AGAUGGCUACGUCCGCAACCCUUUUCGCCUCUUCUCCGCUCCGCCCGCCAAUCGCCAUUGGAUUUGGAAGGGAAGAGUAUGAUUUUUCUUAUGGGAAAAAUCGUCACUCAAUUCAGCAAGCGUAUGCCAGGAGCGGAAGUGAAGUUGGUAUGCAGAGAUGAUUUUGACAAAGAUAAUGUUACAUUACGCAUGACUGGGAUUGUAACCGACGACAA